AACGAACGCUGGCGGCAUGCCUAACACAUGCCAGUCGAACGAGACCUUCGGGUCUAGUGGCGCACGGGUGCGUAACGCGUGGGAACCUGCCCUUAGGUUCGGAAUAACUCCCCGAAAGGGGUGCUAAUACCGGAUAAUGUCUUCGGACCAAAGAUUUAUCGCCUUUGGAUGUGCCCGCGUUGGAUUAGCUAGUUGGUAGGGUAAAAGCCUACCAAGGCGACGAUCCAUAGCUGGUCUGAGAGGAUGAUCAGCCACACUGGGACUGAGACACGGCCCAGACUCCUACGGGAGGCAGCAGUGGGGAAUAUUGGACAAUGGGCGAAAGCCUGAUCCAGCAAUGCCGCGUGAGUGAUGAAGGCCUUAGGGUUGUAAAGCUCUUUUACCCGGGAUGAUAAUGACAGUACCGGGAGAAUAAGCUCCGGCUAACUCCGUG
rnacentral:rRNA from 1 species